rnacentral:rRNA from 1 species
CCUACGGGAGGCAGCAGUGGGGAAUAUUGGGCAAUGGGCGCAAGCCUGACCCAGCAACGCCGCGUGAAGGAAGAAGGCUUUCGGGUUGUAAACUUCUUUUGUCAGGGACGAAGCAAGUGACGGUACCUGACGAAUAAGCCACGGCUAACUACGUGCCAGCAGCCGCGGUAAUACGUAGGUGGCAAGCGUUAUCCGGAUUUACUGGGUGUAAAGGGCGUGUAGGCGGGACUGCAAGUCAGAUGUGAAAACCACGGGCUCAACCUGUGGCCUGCAUUUGAAACUGUAGUUCUUGAGUACUGGAGAGGCAGACGGAAUUCCUAGUGUAGCGGUGAAAUGCGUAGAUAUUACACAGAACACCGAUUGCGAAGGCAGCUUGCUAGGCCGGAUCUGACACUGAUGCACGAAAGCGUGGGGAUCGAACAGGAUUAGAUACCCGUGUAGUC